GACGAACGCUGGCGGCGUGCUUAACACAUGCAAGUCGAACGAUGAAGCUGGAGCUUGCUCUGGCGGAUUAGUGGCGAACGGGUGAGUAACACGUGAGAAAUCUGCCCUUGACUCUGGGAUAACUGCGGGAAACUGUAGCUAAUACCGGAUACUUUCCCUGGUGGGCAUCCACUGGGGAAGAAAGAAUUUCGGUCAAGGAUGAUCUCGCGGCCUAUCAGCUUGUUGGUGAGGUAAUGGCUCACCAAGGCGACGACGGGUAGCCGGCCUGAGAGGGUGACCGGCCACCCUGGGACUGAGCCACGGCCCAGACUCCGACGGGAAGCAGCAGUGGGGAAUAUUGCUCAAUGGGCGCAAGCCUGAUGCAGCAACGCCGCGUGAGGGAUGAAGGCCUUCGGGUUGUAAACCUCUUUUAGCAGGGAAGAAGCGAAAGUGACGGUACCUGCAGAAAAAGCACCGGCUAACUACGUGCCAGCCGCCGCCGUAA
rnacentral:rRNA from 1 species